rnacentral:rRNA from 1 species
UACGGAGGGUGCAAGCGUUAUCCGGAUUCACUGGGUUUAAAGGGUGCGUAGGUGGCCAACUAAGUCAGACGUGAAAUCCCUCGGCUUAACCGGGGAACUGCGUCUGAUACUGGAUGGCUUGAGUGUGGGAGAGGGAUGCGGAAUUCCAGGUGUAGCGGUGAAAUGCGUAGAUAUCUGGAGGAACACCGGUGGCGAAGGCGGCAUCCUGGACCAUUACUGACACUGAAUAGCGAAAGCCAGGGGAGCAAACGGG